rnacentral:rRNA from 1 species
GACGUAGGGUGCGAGCGUUGUCCGGAGUUAUUGGGCGUAAAGCGCGCGUAGGCGGCGUGGUGCGUCGCACGUGAAAGCCCGCGGCUCAACCGCGGAGGGUCGUGCGAGACGGCCGCGCUGGAGGCAGGGAGAGGCUGGUGGAAUUCCCGGAGUAGUGGUGAAAUGCGUAGAGAUCGGGAGGAACACCGGUGGCGCAGGCGGCCAGCUG